CACACACACACACACACACACACACACACACACACGUUGAAUAGACAUCACUGGUUUAUUCAUGUUUAUUAGCUUUCCAAAAGAUAAAAGGGAUGCCACUGCUAUAUUCAGCAAAUAUAAAAUAUAUUAUUAUUCAUGUCUCUGUCUCUUAACGUAGUAGGACUAAACCUUUGGUCCUGAUCUUCUUGACACAUUUUAAACCCUAUUGUGCUGACCUUACCUUUUGAAUAGCCUAUAUAAUAAUUAAAACGCGGAGCGAAGAAGACAAUCACAGUUCACAGAAUUCACAACCCAUUUAUAAAGAUAUGAAUCAGCAACCUUUAGCCUAUAUGCUGAUGUCUUAUAUGUAUAAUGUUUCCCAUUUAUUUUGUGAUAAAUGUACAUCAGCCGGAUGGUACAACCUACGUAAAUUUAUAUAUACUUCUUUAUGUAACCCAGUCGAGAAUUGUAUCUCUUAAAGUGUAAUUUUUAUUCUCAUUAUUACUUUCUGUUUGCUAAAACAUGUGUCAUUCAAGGUAAGGGUGCUUAGACUUGGUUCUUAUUGGUUAUAUCAGUCAAUGCAGACAUCUGAUUGGAGACGGGAAUUAAGUGCCACCCCUCCAUUUUGAAUCUUGGCAGCGCAGUCAAAGCGACAGAGCCAGCAGACGGUCUGGGUCAUAAAUCAAUUCAUCUAAAACGAGUGAAAGUGGAUAAAUGAAUUAAGGCGACCUUGAGAUAAAACUUAUGUGAAGUUGAAUACGGGAUUCUACACUCGGUGUGCCAGGAGUUAACCGCAUUUGGUAAAGUAUUGAAAGAACAUUACAGAAAAUGACCAUCCUUACCAUAACAACCCUACUUUUGAGCAAGGGAAUUCUGACAGCGGCUCACUUUACCAUGGUUUUGCACUUGGUGGUUCAAUGUCGGUCAAAACAUGACGCCGCAGUGAGCUGUUUUUAUUUAUUUUUUUACUGAUAUGUUAACUUGACAUUGUAUUUACUGCUUUGAUAUUGAGAGUGUUGACGCAUUGUUACUGAGAGUUAAAGCAUCAUAUCUCUGCUAGAAAAUAUAAAAAUUAUGAGUUGUAGAUCAAGUCUUUUACUUUGAUGCUGUAUUUGAUAACUUUUGUACUUUUGUUAGUGUUGAACUGUUUACACUUGAAGCGUGGCUACCCAGUUAUGCACUGCUAGUGCUAAUGAUAAUGUGUAAAAAUGUGUCAAAUACCUGAUGUGUUGUUACUCAGUUCAUGAUUUAAAGAGGUAAUGUGUGUAUUUCGAAAAUUUAAAGGGUCCGACGUUAGUUUGAUGCUUCAAGAAUUAAAUAAUCAUACAUCAUGAUUAUUUAUAAAAGCUAAAAAAAAAAGUGCACGAAUGGUGUAAAAAUUAUAAUAUACUUCAUAUGAGAAAUGCUGUAAUGUUUUAUUAAUUUAUUUACUAUUGUGUUGCAGUAGUCUUUUUAAAAUUUUGACGUGAUUUAAUAUAGUAUGGCAACAGAGGACUGGAAUUUCAUGACUAAGUAUAAUAAUACCCUUGUUUUUGUGCAGGCUAGGUUUUGAAAUUUCCUGGAAAAACCCUUAGAUUUUGGAUUAUCCUUGACGAAGGACAUGGCAAGCCAGUACUGAACCUGAUCCUUAAUCCAAGAAGUUGUACCAAGAUCACCUUUUGCCCAGAGGAGGAGACCACCCCACCCUUCAUUCCCCAUCACUUACAGGGUACAGGGGUGGUGGGACUGUGAAAACCUCACACCUUGCCACUUGACUUGUUGUGACAGACCUAAAGCACUUUAAAACUGAAACUUACUAUCCUACUAAAAAGGAACAAACUUGAACUUGAAUGGAUCAAAUGUAUCCUGAACUCAAUAAAUCCUGAACUCUAUUCCAUACUGGAGGCAUUUUCCUUUGUUGCUGUGAAUUGUGUAUGUAGUAUAACCAUUUUAGGUUAUUUUUGUUAAUUUGUAAACAAAACAAACACAUUUUUUCAUAAUACAACUUUCAAUACAUUCACAUUUCAAGUUAAACUGUGACUCAAGUUGCUUACUGUGUCUCGCAUUCUCUUUCAACUCCUCCUAUGAGCCUAGACAGUUUUAUAUUUAAUUGUUAAAUAUAUUUUAGUAUUCUGUUAACUCUGCGUGGGUCGCAAUAAUUUUUUGCUCCUUUCAUGCCAAUAAGCCUCAAGUCUCCACAGGACACAAAACAGGGAUUAAACCAACUGGGCCACAGACAGGGCCAUUCAGAGGGAAUCAUGCCCUGUGUUCUAGUGAAGGGUGGCUGAACAGAGGUGGGUAUUUUCCCACACUCACCAAUUUGGCUCCAAAUGUUGUUUUUAUGAAUAUCUUCAAGGAAUCAACAAGCAGAGGAAGUAGACCCCUAACCCCUCUCUAGCCCCAGCUUUUACUCAUGCCAGCCAAGUCCAAAUGAAGCUCAAAGUUUGUCUUUUUAGGCUUCAAAGGAAGAAGAAUCUUGCAGCUAAACUUUUCCUUACUCUGCUAAAUCAAAAUAAAUUGGUGUGCUGGGAAAGAAAAUGUGAUGUGUUGGCACUAGUGACUAUUGUCACUAGUCAUGGACAUAAUAACAGUUAUUAAUCUGUUUUUUAUAGUUUUCUGUAAACAUUCAUGUUUUUAAUGUUGUCAUGGUCCAUUUUGCCAUACUUUUGUGUGUUAUAUUUAUUAGGAGAUUAAUGUUCAUUUGAGUGAGCAGUAACUUUUCCCUUAUGGCUUGCAAAAAACAACCAAAAAUGAGAGCUUUGAAGAGCUUUCAUUAUUUUAAUUAGAACCAGAAUAAGAAAAUGGACAUUUCCAAACAUAUUUCUUAACACUUUAAAGAAGGAAAUUCCUAAACAAAACAUGAGUGAAAACUACCAUCAAUGGGACAAUUAGGAACAGAUUAAUAUCCAUUAAUUUUGUGGGUUUAGACUGUGAUGUUUAAUGUGUAAAAUGUAGCCACAUUUACAAAACAUUGUACUGACAAUACACCCUUGGUUUUCAAACAUCCAGUAGCAGCAUACAAUGAUACAUUCAAAUUAAAAUGAACAUUCAAAUUAAAACGGAGGAGGAAAUUGUCCAUUGUCUAUUGUCCUCCUUGCCUUGACUGAGAGCUGUUGUACCGUCUGAUGGCCAGGGGGACGAAAGAGUUUGUCUGUUGGUGGAGCUGGAUUGGGACAUGAAUGUACUGCAAACAAUAAGCCACAGCCUUUAAGCAUUGUGGAAUUUAGCUUGAAUUUCAUACACAAAAGUGACACGGUUCAGGGUUUUUUGUGUGCAUGUGUUUGGUUUUUUUUUACUCUGAUAUUCCAUGUAAGUGUCAUCUGUAUCCGACAUGGACCUCAUGGUGCCUGUUCGCCUAGAGAACUGAUAUGGAGAGAGAAAGAAAUGUGAGUACUGUAAUAUGCGAUAGCACAAUUAAGCAUGCAAAGGAAAUUAAAUAUAUGUCCUUUCUGAGUACAAGUCCCCACCUGUGGCUGGCACCCAGCUCUCCUGCCAGGUAUCAACAACAGAACAGGUGAAGUUCUCUUAUCAUGUAAACUAUCUCUACAUGGAAGAUGCUCUCUGUGAAACCAGUUCCUUUUCUUGUUCAUUCUUGUUGUGUUAUUCUAAAGUAAUCCCAUAUUCGCUGUUGCCAGAAUAACUCAUAUUUCAGAUUUUCAGUUUUCAGUCCAGACUAGAUCUGAUUAAACCAAACACUUUUGAAUACAUGAUAUCAGGGGCAAGUGUAUAGAUAACAGAAACUGAAAAAGGGAAAUUGAAUUUACAGAGACAAAAGACACUUAAAACUGAUACUACACUUAUAUCAGGCUGAAAUAACCUGUAGAACUUUUAGAUUCUGUGUCUAGUGUGCCUAGAGUGCAAUUGCUCCUGUUCUGUGAGAGCAAACUUAAAUGGGUAUGGGCCAAAUUUUGCACAAAAGAUAUGUACUGUCUGGUAUAGGAAGAGGGUGCAAUUCUGUGGGGAGAUCAUGUAAAAUUAUUGUUGUUGUUGAACACACCCUAAAGCUGUAACCCUGGUCCACCAGGAAACUCUGUCCCAGGACACCAAAGAGAUGGCUUAAUUCACAAAGAGGCAUCCUGGAGGUGUCCUGGGACAGUGAACAGAAGUGUGCAUUGUACUCCUCUGCCACCAUUCCUAUAAGCAGUCAGGUGGAGUGAGAAUGAAAUGUUUUGUUCAUAGAAGAAAAAUAAAUUUAUGUCAGCAUGUGUCACACAUAACAAUCAAUAUGUUGUGUUUUUUUCCAGACAGACAUUUCUUGGUUCACAAGACUCUGGCAAACCUCUGGGCCUCCUGUCUGCGUGAUCCACCAUGGGAUUAGAUCUGGAUGAGAAGAUUGGCUUCUGGAAAGUCAAAUGAGGUGUCUCCUACCUAUUUGGUAGAAAGGGUGUAUCACUUAUACACAGACAUGAAAUGUUACCACUGUAUCACUUUUGCAGUAUGCAUUUACUGUUUUAUUAAAGGAAAACAUGUUUCAGAUUU